rnacentral:rRNA from 1 species
UACGAAGGGGGCUAGCGUUGCUCGGAAUCACUGGGCGUAAAGGGUGCGUAGGCGGGUCUUUAAGUCAGGGGUGAAAUCCUGGAGCUCAACUCCAGAACUGCCUUUGAUACUGAGGAUCUUGAGUUCGGGAGAGGUGAGUGGAACUGCGAGUGUAGAGGUGAAAUUCGUAGAUAUUCGCAAGAACACCAGCGGCGAAGGCGGCGCUCUGGGCCGGAACUGACGCUGAGGAGCGAAAGCGUGGGUAGCAAACAGG